rnacentral:rRNA from 1 species
AUGGUUGUCGUCAGCUCGUGUCGUGAGAUGUUGGGUUAAGUCCCGCAACGAGCGCAACCCUCGACCUUAGUUGCCAGCAUUCAGUUGGGCACUCUAAGGUGACUGCCGGCUAAAAGUCGGAGGAAGUGGGGAUGACGUCAAAUCAUCAUGCCCCUUAUGACCUGGGCUACACACGUGCUACAAUGGGCGGUACAAAGGGUCGCGAACCCGCGAGGGGGAGCCAAUCCCAAAAAGCCGCUCUCAGUUCGGAUUGCAGGCUGCAACUCGCCUGCAUGAAGCCGGAAUCGCUAGUAAUCGCGGAUCAGCAUGCCGCGGUGAAUACGUUCCCGGGCCUU